rnacentral:rRNA from 1 species
GAAACACGGACCAAGGAGUCUAGCAUGUGCGCGAGUCAUUGGGAGUCACUAGACCCAGAGGCGCAAUGAAAGUGAAAGUCGGCCGGUCGCUUGCGUCCGCGUCGUGAAGGGAAGAUGCGCGGGCGUCGUUUCGGCGCCCCGCCGCAUUCUCGAGGCGUUUCGAGAAAGCCACCGUGCGAUUAUCGAGACGCACUGAGAGCGCACACGCUGGGACCCGAAAGAUGGUGAACUAUGCCUGGUCAGGUCGAAGUCAG